rnacentral:rRNA from 1 species
AAUCAACGCCGGCGGCGUGCCUAAUACAUGCAAGUCGAGCGAAUGGAUGGGAGCUUGCUCCCUGAAGUUAGCGGCGGACGGGUGAGUAACACGUGGGCAACCUGCCUGUAAGACUGGGAUAACUUCGGGAAACCGGAGCUAAUACCGGAUACAUUCUUUCUUCGCCUGAAGAAAGAUGGAAAGAUGGUUUCGGCUACCACUUACAGAUGGGCCCGCGGCGCAUUAGCUAGUUGGUGAGGUAACGGCUCACCAAGGCAACGAUGCGUAGCCGACCUGGGAGGGUGAUCGGCCAGACUGGGACUGAGACACGGCCCAGACUCCUACGGGAGGCAGCAGUAGGGAAUCUUCCGCAAUGGACGAAAGUCUGACGGAGCAACGCCGCGUGAGCGAAGAAGGCCUUCGGGUCGUAAAGCUCUGUUGUUAGGGAAGAACAAGUACCAGAGUAACUGCUGGUACCUUGACGGUAUCUAACCAGAAAGCCACGGCUAACUACGUGCCAGCCGCCGCCGUAAAAC